CUGAAAUAUGUCAUCAAUACAAACAUUCGUGUUUAUCGAUUUUGCUACGGAACGUAUGAAACGAAAACGUGUUGUAUAACUUGUGUCUCUUACCUGUGCCAAGGCAGCAAUUUUUAGAACCCAAUAAUACAACCCCUCCACAAGAUUUGUUCAUUGUGUUUUCCGAUAACGAGAUAAACGAAGCAGAUUUUCAUAAAAUUAACGACUUCAUAAACCGACAAGAAAAACCAGUAUGUAUAUUUGCACAUUACGGGAACAGAUUUGACUUCAUAAUCUUGAGGCGCCAGUUGAAUAAAUUAAAUAAGGAAUUGGCGAGCGACGUCCUUGUUGCAGACUGUAUGUACGCGUUUCACGACAUACUUGAAAAUAAAAGCCAAGGAGGUGCUGUUAGGAAGUGUUAUUGGGAUCCUUAUGUUAAACCAAACGUUGAUUAUACACUUUUUAACGUCUACGACAGAGUGGUAAUAAAUAACCGAGUGCCAGUACAACCACAUCGUUCUAGAGACGAUACCUAUAUGAUCUUCAGAAUAUCACAUGUAUUGGGACAAAAAUUCUUAGACUGGGCUGAUAACCCUAUCAAGCGACGUCGCUGUGGAGAAGUUCAAGAUGGACCAAUAGAAAGGAGAUGAUUCUUAAACUCGAUGCCUUUUCUUGACUCUAUUCCACCAUAAUUCAGUUGAUGACAUCUUGCCAACAAGAAAACGUAUAAAAAUACUAACGAUAGUGACUGAAUAGAAAAAAAUGAUUAUAAAAAAUACUUCACAUUGAAAAUCUUCUAUUAUUUUAGCGUGCUAUGGAGGCUACACUCGGCGGUACAUUCCCUUCGAUUAGAACGCAUUCAGAAAAGCUUCUUGUGGUAUUUGGUACGCAAAGAGCGUAAGAUGGACAAAAAAUCUUCUGAACAACUUGUCACAACUCAAGAUGGAUUCUUUAUCUAAUCGCAGAAAACACUCCGAGUGUAUAUUGUUUGUUUUUUUUUUUUGGUGGAGGGAAAAUUAUCCAGUAUCUUCUCCCGUCUUGGGUGAGGCGAGAGGGAGUGUCAGAAUCUAACUGACUAAAAACGACCCCAUUCUUUCUCCUGCUUUGAGCCGGAGCCUCGGUAACCUUUUACGUUGUCCGCAGCUCCGGAUUUUGUAUAAAUUUUAAACAAUGCUGUUGACUAUCCACAACUUUUGAUUAAGGUGAGUUACUUUCCGUUCCUUUAGUAGUCAGAUCACCCCUUUGUACCCGCUGCGUCGCAAAACGAUGCUUGGUGCGAACUCAUCCCAAUGUCGAAUCUUGAAUAAAUAUUCUGAUACAGAUACAUU